AGCUCCAAUAGCGUAUAUUAAAAUUGUUGCGUCUAAAAAGCUCGUAGUUUGAAAACUUGCCUUGGCUUACAACAGGUUCCUAACUGGGGCCGCCGUUUGUUGAGAGCAAAUAUCGAUGACUGUUUUUGCCGACUUCAUUGUUUGGCUUAUAAGAGUUAUCAAAUAUCACUUUGAUUAAAUUAGAGUGCUUAAAGCAAGUGUGUUACUUGGAUAUAAAUGCAUGGAAUGAUGGAAUAUGUUGUUGUUCUAUUUGUUGGUUUUUGAACGAUAAAAUGAUUGAAAGGAACUGUUGGGGGCAUUCGUAUUGUUGUGAGAGAGGUGAAAUUCUUAGACCACAGCAAGACGAACUACUGCGAAAGCAUUUGCCAAGAAUGUU
rnacentral:rRNA from 1 species